CCUGACGUCAAAUCCAGACAGUCGCGGUGCAUCACGUGUCCGUGCACAUCCUGCACCUUUAUCCGUCCGUACCAGCCUCCCCCCCCCCCCGCUGAAUCCGGGGGAGUCAGUCAGAGGUUAACAGUUCCAGCCCGCUGCUAAUUGGACGGCGCUCCCGGGCGCGCCACGCGAUUGGUCCACGGCCUGUCAGUCUGGGGCGACCGGGUCUCGGAGGCGCAGCGCUGACGGCGCACGUAACUGGGCUGAGCGUCUGGAGUCUGUCUGAAACUGAUACGACAAAAAAAAAGAGAAAAAAGAAAAGAAAAAAAAAAAAAAAAAAACACAUUCUCGUUCUCUCAGAGUCGGCUCCGGACGCGCGGCAGACGCGGACGGAACGGACCCGGACUGCGCUGCGGCGGUACGGCGUUAGAAGCGUCGCGUCGCGUCGUCCACGCCGGCUCGCGUUGUAACGCGCACAAAGUUUUUAUUGUGUUUUUUUUAUUUUUUAUUGUUUUUUUUUGGGUUUUUUUUUUUGCGAGUGUUAAUCGCCAGACAGUCCGUUUAAUUCUCAGGUAAGACAACCGUGGCGACGGGCAGGUGUUUCUCCGACGCGGCCUGGCGCCGGCAGCCGCUAGCGGAGACCGCUAUUGUUUACCAGACGCGCGACCGUGACCGUGACCGCGGCCGCGGUUCUUUUAUGACGCGAGCAGCGCGGCGCAGGUGUCGCCGCCCCCCACCCUGGAAAAAAAAAAAAGGGCAGGUGACCCGGCGAAGGCGACGGCGACUGGACGCUCGGACGCCGCGGGGAGAGGCGAGGAGAGGAGGCAACUUCGGCCGCACUUAUGCCGCGCUCCGGAGGCUUAGUGCCCUUAAGAUGAAUCCAGUUUCUGUGUCACUGGCCAUGUCUUGCCUUUGCGCCUGCCAGCAGUGACCCAGCUCGAGAUGAGGUGCUCCGUUGCUCACAGUUUUGGGAAGGUGUGUGAGGACUGUGUCGCUCCGUGGAUGGUGGAAAUGCGUUGAUGUAGUAGGUACUGAGAAAUUACAGACGUAACCUCAGCUGCCUGUCUCUGUCUCUGUUCUGUCUUUGUCCUUUUCUUUAUUCCACAAAUGCGAUCCUGUAUUAAUGAUAUAUGGUCCACUGUUAAAUUAAUGUACAAUCUUAUCCGCAUACUUGUUAAUGUUUUAUUUUUCAACAUACUGCCCAGUCUUUCCCAACCCUCCUCUGCUUACCAACUUCCAAACUCUUCCAAACAGUUCUAUUUCUACCAAUAUUAAAUUUUGUU
rnacentral:lncRNA from 1 species